rnacentral:lncRNA from 1 species
ACUCCUCCUCCAUGCCCAGGGACCGCGGGUGCUUGGGGCCCCGACGCGUACCCAGGUGCCAUCUGGCCCUCACCUCCCGCCGUAGCUGGCUGUGACGCCCGCCAUGGGCACACUGGGGCAGUGCAGUGAGAAGACGAGGAUGCCCAGCAGGCUGACAACGGUGCAGAACAGGCAGAACUUGAUGACCGCGGAGCCCCGGAGCCUGAGCUUGUUCACAAAGAAGCCGCCCAGGAAGGUGCCGCCACCACCCGCUGGCACCACCAGCCUCUCACCAGAGCAGACUGUCGGCCUCACAUCACCCCCACCUGCAGGAGGGCGGCUCUUUCCUCUCGGCCACACCUAGAGCCUGGUUCCGAUGAACGCAACUCUGAAUGCCUGGAACAUUCAAAUGCUCUUGUUUGAGGAGGUGGCCAAAUGUAAAUGGAUUCUGAAGAAUCAGGAACAGACGGUGCAGCCCUAGUUAGCCUCUGAGCCCCAACAGGCCCACAGGUGCCUUGCAGAGCUGAUGUUGGCGUCAGAAACUCCGCUCCAGCCUCACAGGCACUCUGCCUGCUUGGAGGUGUUCGCUGGCUCGCUCAGACUGACCUCAGCAGCCAUGAACAUGGGUUCUUUCUGUCCCCUUCCCUGAUUAAAAUGGGAGAGCCCAGUUCUUUCAAAAUUUAUUUCCUGA